AGUAACACGUGGGUAACCUGCCCAAGAGACUGGGAUAACACCUGGAAACAGAUGCUAAUACCGGAUAACAACACUAGACGCAUGUCUAGAGUUUGAAAGAUGGUUCUGCUAUCACUCUUGGAUGGACCUGCGGUGCAUUAGCUAGUUGGUAAGGUAACGGCUUACCAAGGCAAUGAUGCAUAGCCGAGUUGAGAGACUGAUCGGCCACAUUGGGACUGAGACACGGCCCAAACUCCUACGGGAGGCAGCAGUAGGGAAUCUUCCACAAUGGACGAAAGUCUGAUGGAGCAACGCCGCGUGAGUGAAGAAGGGUUUCGGCUCGUAAAGCUCUGUUGGUAGUGAAGAAAGAUAGAGGUAGUAACUGGCCUUUAUUUGACGGUAAUUACUUAGAAAGUCACGGCUAACUACGUGCCAGCAGCCGCGGUAAUACGUAGGUGGCAAGCGUUGUCCGGAUUUAUUGGGCGUAAAGCGAGUGCAGGCGGUUCAAUAAGUCUGAUGUGAAAGCCUUCGGCUCAACCGGAGAAUUGCAUCAGAAACUGUUGAACUUGAGUGCAGAAGAGGAGAGUGGAACUCCAUGUGUAGCGGUGGAAUGCGUAGAUAUAUGGAAGAACACCAGUGGCGAAGGCGGCUCUCUGGUCUGCAACUGACGCUGAGGCUCGAAAGCAUGGGUAGCGAACAGGAUUAGAUACCCUGGUAGUCCAUGCCGUAAACGAUGAGUGCUAAGUGUUGGGAGGUUUCCGCCUCUCAGUGCUGCAGCUAACGCAUUAAGCACUCCGCCUGGGGAGUACGACCGCAAGGUUGAAACUCAAAGGAAUUGACGGGGGCCCGCACAAGCGGUGGAGCAUGUGGUUUAAUUCGAAGCAACGCGAAGAACCUUACCAGGUCUUGACAUCCAGUGCAAACCUAAGAGAUUAGGUGUUCCCUUCGGGGACGCUGAGACAGGUGGUGCAUGGCUGUCGUCAGCUCGUGUCGUGAGAUGUUGGGUUAAGUCCCGCAACGAGCGCAACCCUUGUCAUUAGUUGCCAUCAUUAAGUUGGGCACUCUAAUGAGACUGCCGGUGACAAACCGGAGGAAGGUGGGGAUGACGUCAAGUCAUCAUGCCCCUUAUGACCUGGGCUACACACGUGCUACAAUGGACGGUACAACGAGAAGCGAACCUGCGAAGGCAAGCGGAUCUCUUAAAGCUGUUCUCAGUUCGGACUGUAGGCUGCAACUUGCAAACACGAAGCUGGAAUCGCUAGUAAUCGCGGAUCAGCACGCCGCGGUGAAUACGUUCCCGGGCCUUGCACUCAAGGCCCGUCA
rnacentral:rRNA from 1 species